rnacentral:rRNA from 1 species
GAUGAACGCUGGCGGCGUGCCUAAUACAUGCAAGUCGAGCGAAGCGGGGCCGGGUGAGUAACACGUGGAUAACCUCCUAUAAGACUGGGAUAACUUCGGGAAACCGGAGCUAAACCGGUUACUUAUAGCUGGAUCCGCGCUGCAUUAGCUAGUUGGUAAGGUAACGGCUUACCAAGGCAACGAUGCAUAGCCGACCUGCGAGGGUGAUCGGCCACACUGGAACUGAGACAGGUUCCAGACUCCUAGGGGGGGCAGCAGUAGCGAAUCUUCCGCAAUGGGCGAGAGCCUGACGGAGCAACGCCGCGUGAGUGAUGAAGGUCUUCGGAUCGUAAAACUCUGUUAUUAGGGAAGCGGUACCUAAUCAGAAAGCGACGGCUAACUGCGUGCCAGCAGCCGCGGUAAUUC